rnacentral:rRNA from 1 species
GGCUCAGGACGAACGCUGGCGGCGUGCCUAAUACAUGCAAGUCGAGCGGACUGAUGGGGAGCUUGCUCCCCUGACGUCAGCGGCGGACGGGUGAGUAACACGUGGGCAACCUGCCUCACAGAUUGGGAUAACUCCGGGAAACCGGGGCUAAUACCGAAUAAUCAAAGGAACCGCAUGGUUCCCUUGUAAAAGUUGGGUUUUACCUAACACUGUGAGAUGGGCCCGCGGCGCAUUAGCUAGUUGGUGAGGUAGUGGCUCACCAAGGCGACGAUGCGUAGCCGACCUGAGAGGGUGAUCGGCCACACUGGGACUGAGACACGGCCCAGACUCCUACGGGAGGCAGCAGUAGGGAAUCAUCCGCAAUGGACGAAAGUCUGACGGUGCAACGCCGCGUGAGUGAUGACGGUCUUCGGAUUGUAAAGCUCUGUUGUUAGGGAAGAACAAGUGCCGUUCAAAUAGGGCGCACCUUGACGGACCUAACCA